UAAAGAUGAAUUUUAAAAAGUAAAGUUUCGUAAUAUUUAAGACCUUUUAAACUCUAAAAAAACUAAAUAAAAUAUGCUGAUGUGUUUUGUCGUAAAAUGUAAAAAGUCUUCUUUUGUAACAAUACAUUUUCUUUCCUGAAAAUAACUCCUCUUAUUGGCUUCUAGAAUCUUCCCAGAGAAAAGUUCAUUACUUGAAGUGUUUGCGUGAUGGCUGACAACAACAACCUCCUCCCCGCCCCCGUAGAAAAAGUGGGCUAAUUAUUUACUUUGAAAAGUUCUCCUGCUCAGUCCUAGGCGGCGGUCUUUUUUAAUCCUGGCGAAGCUCCGCCUGCUCGCCCCUCAGCCCGGCGGCCCUGGUCUGUGCUGACGGGCCAGCUCUGACUGGAAAAGCCUCUCGGGGGAAUUCAGCAUGGCCGCCCGGCGCUGCCUUUCAUGCGGUCGCCGUGCAAUGCCUUUUAUCUCUCAGCUACGCACUUUACGAGCCGCCAGCCAGUAAGGAGAGGAGGAGGAGGGAGAAAUUACAAGUCCAGGCCUGACGUGGCGAGCAUGAAUAGCACAGAAGAAUGGCGGCUGGCGCUUGUGUUGUAUUCUUCUCCACUUGAAAGUGCUGCUGGCUAAAUAUCAGACGCUGUCCCUACCUUGUCGAUGGCGUCCGGAUUUUCCGACACAUCAAAGAUGACGGCGGUGGCUCCUCGCUGCACAGCUCUCUUGGCCUGUAAACAAACAAACAAACAAACAAACCAAAUGUUUACAUUUGUACUCCAACCCUUUUUUUCCUGACAUGGUGUUCUGUCCGUAAAAUUUUAACUUAAACAAGAAUUUCCCCAAAAUUCUUCAUUUUUGUGCUUUAAAAAAACGUUUUUAAAUGAAAAUAUAUUACUUCAAUCGUAUUUCAUUUGAAAAAUAUAUUUUUUUAUAUAUCAGUAAUUUCAUCAGAUUAGUUAAACUUUUGCAUUUGGAUUAAUUGCGAUCAAACACGUGCAUAUUUAAAACUAGGUCCGUCCGAGCACUUGGAGGAAAAGUGACAAAAGAAGCAAAGAAGUCAGCAAGUAAACACUGAUAAAGUAGGUAACCCAUCAAUGCCAUCCAACACACUUUUGCUUUUCCAAAGAUAUCACUCACUUUGGUAUUGUGCCAAUAAUACUUAGAAGUAAUUAUACAGUUUCUGCGUGAUUAUAAAGACAACAAACUAUGAGGAAGAAUAAAUGCAUAUGACUACAUAAAUACUGUCGGAAAAAGUGUUCAUUUAUAUCAAUAAAGUAUUAAAAUGAUGGUUGAACA